CAACAGUUGGGGUUUUACUGUUUAUACUGAAAAGCAGCAGUGGUAUUUCUGCUGUAAAGGGAAUGAUUCUCAGCAGGACUGGGUCACCUCCAUUAUCAGAGUGAAGCAUGCCAGUGACUUAUGGCCUAAAGACCUAAAGCAGAGUGCAUCGUUACCUUAUAACCUGAGCAGAGGAAGAACAUCCACUUACAGCACUGCAAAGACCAGCACAGCCAAACAUCAGAGAGAGGCUAAAAGGAAGUCAGUCCUCACUACAAGUAUAGAAGGUUCAAAUACACGAAACCCAAUGACCACAGAUGUGAGCAACCAACCGGACUUGAUGCAUAAAUUGGCAAGCAGUGAAGGAACUCCGAGUGUCUCCGGGCUUAAAAUGGUGAUUGAUGACACACUCCAGUCUCUGCGUAGACCAUCACUUCAACAAGACCCCAGCGCUCUCACCCAGCUAUCACACAAGAAGGCUGUGUUGCCCAACAGAGGUGUGCAGUUGCCAAAAAACCUCAUUAAUGAACUAAGUACUGUUCUCAACAAAACAGGACGCUUUCCGAAAGAAGACAAUUAAGAGAGACAUACAGAGACAGAAAGACGAGACACUUGUCUGUUGCUCUUCCAUUGUGCAUGACCAAGACCAAAUCACCCCACAAAAGCUCAGUUGGUUCUCAGUAAGGAAGUUGGAUGUACUACUCAGGACAUGGAGAGUAAGUAUAGUAAAUGUUUAAACUGAGGUAAACUGGUGGGUCAAACAUUGGAUGUAAAGACUUUUUUUGCGCACAACUACAGCUGUUUGCCAUAGGUUGCAUUGAGCCUUUAUCCUUCAAUUUAGAACCAUAUAAUUCAGUAUUAUUGAACAUUAAUGAUUGUUUUAGGCUUUUGCAUGAUAAUAUGCAUUUCCCUCUUCAUUCUCAUAUCUGUUUUUAUUCUCAAUGAGGUUGAAAGACACUACUAGACAACAAUGUUCCAGUAUCAUCUUAAAUCUUCAUAUUUUGAAACUGGUUGUUCUGAGAUAAGUGGAAUGGUAAUAUUAGCAUUAGUUAAAGUUGGCAUGAAAUAUAAUUUUACCCUAUUUUCUAAAUUCUUAAUAUUAAUCAUAUUGUGAACGAUUCGUCCAUGCAGGCUUUUU
rnacentral:lncRNA from 1 species